GUUGAUCCUGCCGGACCCGACUGCUAUUUGGGUGAGAAUAAGCCAUGCGAGUUGAAUGGGAUACCUAAAGUUCCCAUAGCAAACUGCUCAGUAACACAUGAUCAACUUACCCUAUAGAGAAAAAUAACCUCGGGAAACUGAGGAUAAUGUUUCAUAAUUGAAUUGGCUUGGAAAAGUUUUUCAAUGAAAGGGAUAAAAAAAAUGGUUUUUAUCUGCUAUAGGAUAGGAUCGUGUUCGAUUAUGGUUGUUGGUGAGAUAAUGGCUCACCAAGCCGAUAAUCGAUAGGGGCCGUGAGAGCGGGAGCCCCGAGAUGGGUACUGAGACAACGACCCAGGCCUUACGAGGCGCAGCAGGCGCGGAACCUCCGCAAUACACGAAAGUGUGACGGGGUUACCCAAAGUGUUCAAUAGAACUGUGGUAGGUGAGUAAUGUCCCCUACUAGAAAGGGGAGGGCAAGGCUGGUGCCAGCCGCCGCGGUAAAACCAGCUCUUCAAGUGGUCGGGAUAAUUAUUGGGCUUAAAGUGUCCGUAGCCGGUUUAGUAAGUUCCUGGUAAAAUCGGGUAGCUUAACUAUCUGCAUGCUAGGAAUACUGCUAUACUAGAGGGCGGGAGAGGUCUGAGGUACUACAGGGGUAGGGGUGAAAUCUUAUAAUCCUUGUAGGACCACCAGUGGCGAAGGCGUCAGACUGGAACGCGCCUGACGGCGAGGGACGAAAGCCAGGGGAGCGAACCGGAUUAGAUACCCGGGUAGUCCUGGCCGUAAACGAUGCAUACUAGGUGAUGGUACGGCCAUGAGCCGUAUCAGUGCCGUAGGAAACCGUUAAGUGUGCCGCCUGGGAAGUACGGUCGCAAGGCUAAAACUUAAAGGAAUUGGCGGGGGAGCACCACAAAGGGGUGAAGCCUGCGGUUCAAUUGGAUUCAACGCCGGAAAUCACUAGUGCGGCCGCCUGC
rnacentral:rRNA from 1 species